GGGAGAGUCCUCGGUUGGGCGAGCGCAGAGCAUACCCACUCCUCCAACUUGAACAUUCUUACGAGCCAAGAGCACCCCGCCCCAACCUCACCCACGGCGCUCCUCCCCUCUGGUUACUGAGGGAGCCUGAGACUGCAGGCCAGGCGCCCCUUGUGUCCCGGGAACUGAGGCGAAGUGGUCGGGUCGCGCUGCAGGACGCACGCACGGCGGCAGCGUUCACACGAGGCAGGAGGCGGCGCUAGGAGACGCGCGGUGCACUCGGACGCGGGUGGCGGAUCCUCGGCGGCGCCCAGGUCAGGGAGGAGUGGGCCUCCGCUCCGGUGACAGUGAUGAGUACCUCGCAGAACGCCAGUAUUAAAGGGUUCCUCUAGGCUCACGUGACCCUGACCUGUAGAGCCAAAGGGCACCAGCCCACAGAUGGAAGCUCAGUCCAGCUUCUCAGGAGGAGCCACCCCUAAAGAACUCCUGGGCCCACAGUAAGAAGAACAAAAGAAAUACUGUCUGUCCAUGGGAAUAUAGUCAUUGGGCAACAACACAGCUGCUGGUGGUGGAUCUUGAAGCGGGUUCACUGCUACUUGGGAAGAGAAUGUGAUGAUCCUGCACACUCAGAACAAGGUUUGGGGAGUUCUGAAGUCAGAUGUGUGAAGUCAAGGUGUCAGCAGGGCCGUGUUGCUCCUGGAAGCUCAGCCACCUGGUUCCACACUACAAAGACGCAGAGGACACCCGACCACCAGACCACAG